rnacentral:rRNA from 1 species
GAUGAACGCUGGCGGCGUGCUUAACACAUGCAAGUCGAACGAAGCGCCUUGGACAGAUUCUUCGGAUGAAGUCUUUGGUGACUGAGUGGCGGACGGGUGAGUAACGCGUGGGUAACCUGCCUCAUACAGGGGGAUAACAGUUAGAAAUGGCUGCUAAUACCGCAUAAGCGCACGGUACUGCAUGGUACAGUGUGAAAAACUCCGGUGGUAUGAGAUGGACCCGCGUUGGAUUAGCUAGUUGGCAGGGUAACGGCCUACCAAGGCGACGAUCCAUAGCCGGCCUGAGAGGGUGGACGGCCACAUUGGGACUGAGACACGGCCCAGACUCCUACGGGAGGCAGCAGUGGGGAAUAUUGCACAAUGGGGGAAACCCUGAUGCAGCGACGCCGCGUGAGCGAAGAAGUAUUUCGGUAUGUAAAGCUCUAUCAGCAGGGAAGAAAAUGACGGUACCUGACUAAGAAG